rnacentral:lncRNA from 1 species
UUUACUUUUGAAGAGGAAAAGUACUUAACUCCUAGAGGAAAGCGUCAUUCCUGAGGUUUACCCUCAUGGUCUGGAGACAAACACGUGGGACUUUUCUUUUUUGUGUGUGUUUCUAAUAGUGGAAGAAAAGGAAAGCCAGGCUAAGCAGAGAAAAGUGGAAGAGGAGACACAGCAGCUCAUUCUUUCCCAGUAGCCGUUAGACUGAUUGCGGAGGGGAAGGUCAAAAGAGAAGUUCACAACUAUGAUACCAGCUCUAGAGGCGAAAGAACAACUGAGAGAGAACUAUCCAAGAAGUGUUUGGAUCCCGAAGCACAAAGGUAGACUUACAAAGGAUGAAAUUGAUCUCUACUACUAAGUGGAUCCAUCUUCAAGAGAGGGCGUUCAGAACACCCGGAAAGAUAAGAAAGGUGAUCCUGAUGUGCAGAGUUGAGAAUACCUCAGGUAUUUUAACACACGGCUUUAUCUUUGAAGAACAGAAGAGACCCCAUGGGGAUACAGUCAGCCAAUGUGACUAAUUCUACAGGACAAAUGACCCAGUUUCCUCAAAAAUAAGUGCCAUGAAAUAUAUGGAGCAGGGAGGUGGAAACUGUCAUAAAUCAAAAGACUUGAGAUGUGUCAACCAAGUGAAACGUGUAAACCUUAUUUGGGUCCCAAUCUGAACAGACCGAAAAUGGGCAUUUUUGAGACACUUAGGGAAAACAGAACACAGAUUAUUUAAUACGAGGGAAUUAUUUUUGUUGGAUAUGAUAUUGGCACAGUGAUUGAAAAACAAAUUCCUUAUCUGUUAGAGCAAAAUACUGAUGAAUU